rnacentral:rRNA from 1 species
GACGAACGCUGGCGGCGUGCUUAACACAUGCAAGUCGAACGGAAAGGCCCUGCUUUUGUGGGGUGCUCGAGUGGCGAACGGGUGAGUAACACGUGAGUAACCUGCCCUUGACUUUGGGAUAACUUCAGGAAACUGGGGCUAAUACCGGAUAGGAGCUCCUGCUGCAUGGUGGGGGUUGGAAAGUUUCGGCGGUUGGGGAUGGACUCGGGGCUUAUCAGCUUGUUGGUGGGGUAGUGGCUUACCAAGGCUUUGACGGGUAGCCGGCCUGGGAGGGUGACCGGCCACAUUGGGACUGAGAUACGGCCCAGACUCAUACGGGAGGCAGCAGUGGGGAAUAUUGCACAAUGGGCGGAAGCCUGAUGCAGCAACGCCGCGUGCGGGAUGACGGCCUUCGGGUUGUAAACCGAUUUCGCCUGUGACGAAGCGUGAGUGACGGUAAUGGGGAAAGAAGCACCGGCUAACUACGU